rnacentral:rRNA from 1 species
AGGACGAACGCUGGCGGCGUGCUUAACACAUGCAAGUCGAACGGAAAGGCCCUUUCGGGGGUACUCGAGUGGCGAACGGGUGAGUAACACGUGGGUGAUCUGCCCUGCACUUCGGGAUAAGCUUGGGAAACUGGGUCUAAUACCGGAUAGGACUACGGACUUCAUGGUUUGUGGUGGAAAGCUUUUGCGGUGUGGGAUGGGCCCGCGGCCUAUCAGCUUGUUGGUGGGGUAACGGCCUACCAAGGCGACGACGGGUAG